rnacentral:rRNA from 1 species
UGGGGAAUAUUGCACAAUGGGCGCAAGCCUGAUGCAGCGACGCCGCGUGAGGGAUGACGGCCUUCGGGUUGUAAACCUCUUUCAGUACAGAACAAGGCCUUCGGGUUGAGGGUAUGUGCAGAAGAAGCGCCGGCUAACUACGUGCCAGCAGCCGCGGUAAUACGUAGGGCGCAAGCGUUGUCCGGAAUUAUUGGGCGUAAAGAGCUCGUAGGCGGUUUGUCGCGUCUGCUGUGAAAACGCGAGGCUCAACCUCGCGCCUGCAGUGGGUACGGGCAGACUAGAGUGCGGUAGGGGAGACUGGAAUUCCUGGUGUAGCGGUGGAAUGCGCAGAUAUCAGGAGGAACACCGGUGGCGAAGGCGGGUCUCUGGGCCGUAACUGACGCUGAGGAGCGAAAGCAUGGGGAGCGAACAGG